UGGUCAAUUAGCAGGCAAGCUACAAUUUGCAGCCCUGGCCCACAAAGUCCCUAGGCCUCUUGUGCUGACCAGGUGCCCCAGUGCAUCGUCCAAUUGCCAGAGUGUGACAGAAAGACAUUGUAUGGCCACAACACUGCCAGACCAUUGAAGGUAAGCAGACUUAUCUAUUUAUUCAAACCAUCUUUCUGCUUCAUCACUGAAAUGUCCAAACAACACUGGUUAAUGCCUUUUGAAAAACCAAAUAAACAAAUAAAACAGCAGAUGACACACUUUUUAGAAGUCAGGAGAUAAAUAACAGAUUAACUAAUCAUACCAAAGGACUGCUGAAGUUAGGCAGUCUUCACUGAGCAUAAAUGCUAUCAACGAGUGUGCUAGGGGGAUAGGAAACGGAAUUUCAUAGCCUGAGUACCAAAACAGAGAAAGCCUUCUUUUACCUAUCCUCAGUUAACAGAAUGACUUAAAUGAAACAGAUUUAAUCCAGUAAGAAAAUAAAUUGAUAUACUUUACUGGGGUAAACUGAACAAAAACAGUAUAUAAAUUGAGGAGAAUAUCAUUUACAGGUCUAGUUGAAAGUGAUGAGAUAUAAUAUUCAACCACAAAGCUGAUAAGCCUCCUUCAGAAGUAUUUAUCCCUCCAACUCCUCCAACUGUCAAAUCUCAACAGUCUUUCUAUAACAUGGACAGUUUACUCCCGAAUGACUGUAACAUCUAGCUAAGCAAAGUCUGGUGUUAGCCAGACCAAUAACCACACUAACCCUUAAUGAUCCCUGAUGUUGUUCAACUGCAUUUCUGCCAGUAGUGAGACAUGGAGCCAGGCCACUCCUGGCAACCUAAGUAGGUGAACACAGAAUCAUGCAGAAGGAACAGUCCUCAACUUAUUUGAAGAUGGUCCUUAAAGAACGCAGGCCUCAAGUCAUUUGGACAUUUAAAGGUUAUAACCAACACCUUGAACUUGUCUGAGAAGAAGAACAGAAGCCAAUGAAGUUGGUACAAUUAAAACAAAAAACAGCCAGUACUCUAGCUUCUGCCAUAGCUCAGAAAGUCCCUGGUUCAAUCCUCGACAUCUCCAGGUGGGGCUAGGAGUGUCUCCUGCCUGAGACCCUAGGGAGCUGCUGCCAGUUCAGUGUAGGCAAUACUGAACCAGAUGGACCAAUGGUCUGAUUCAGUAUAAUACAUUUUCCGAUAUUCCUGUGAGGUUUCCAAACCCCUUUGAAAGACAGCUCCACACAUUACAGUAAUCAAGCCUUGACACAAAGCACGUGUGACUUCACCAGCCUAAAGUGAGCUACAGCACUCGUGGCUUGCAGGGUCCAAAAGCACACCCAGACUGCAAGCCUGAGCUGCAAUGGAAAAAAGGGAGGCACUCUGAGACCAUAUGCGAUUAACACAGAGCCAAGAUGCCACAUGGGGAGAGGUAAAACAUUAGCCACUUUUAUUUCCCUGCUUGCAAACUCUGACCUCCCUGCACAGCAUCACCUACUAGCUCUUAUGCUUAUACUGCUAACCCCACAGGAAUUGCCCACAAAGUGCUCGCACAAUCGAAGUAAAUAAAGUUACCAGCUCCCUUUGGGGAAUGGAGGUGGGAAAUAAGGAAUGUCCCCUGCCUCCCAAAAAAAACUAGUUCCAAAAGUUCUGUUCCUUGGUUAAACUCAGCCUGAGCAAGAUAAAUACAGUGAUGGAUAACUAGCCAUGUCUGUGUUAUUCAAUGCUUACACAUGGUCUGAAACGUGAGCUGGCCAAGGGAAGACCCUUCCCCUGCAAAGUGGCGCAGGUAGGUAAUUUUAGACUCAUAAUUUAUGGUCUUGUGUGUACUCCUGCAUUUGGGGGGCUGAGUGGGACCCUGGACCUCUGCCUCAGUGGCACCACCACCCCUGUAGGCUUUCCAGUGCUGCCACUUUCAAUGAGGUGGUGAGAUACUGAUUUUGGGGCAGAGUCUGCCAUGAGGGAAGGGCCAUAGCUCACUGGGAGGGCAUCUGCCUUGCAUGCGGAAGGUCCCAAGUUCAGUCCCCACCACCUCCAGGUAGGGCCUGAAACCCUGGAGAGGUACUGCCUGCUGAGCAGGAUAGACUAGUAGGUCUGAUUUAGAAUAAGGCAGAUUCCUGUGUUCCAACACUGCUGCUUGUUUGUUUUGAAAAGCACUUUGAGGGCCCUAUGGGACUGAACAGUAGCCCAUACAUUUGGUAUGUGUUCUUAUCAUACUGAGGAGUAUAAUGGAGGCUUAUUUUACCAUUUCCACCCUCCUUUCAGUGGGCAGUUGUGUCUUAUGCAUAGACACUUCCUAGGAAAACCCAGAAAUUAUACCCUAUAACCUUAACUCUGUCCCUGUCUUUUAUGCAACCAGUCCAAACAGCACUCCCUUUGAAAAACUGUUGACUCCCAGUGUGAUAUCUGAUCACACAAAAACUUGUUAUGCUGGGGAAGGGUUGCAAGGAAAAAGGGGGUAAUUAAAAUGUCAGAAUGGAGGUUGUCCAAUCAGAUACGUGGCAUGAGCUGGUAGUUGCAGCGAUAAUAAUCUAGGCUUAAAAACAGCAACUCGUAUAUUCACCUUUGGCAAAUAUGAAUCACCUCUAAGUCAGAGAAGCAUGGCAAGAUAUUUGUCCAUAAAUGGGCCACAGUUGUGAGUGAGUGGGCAAAGUGGGGAAGAAUUGCUUAGGGUCUAGUAACUUGUGCAGUCCUAUUUACAAGACUGUAUUUAUUUAAUUAAUUUAUAGAAGUAUUUUUAUACUACCUUCUUACAUCAGGGUGGUGCACAGCAAGGCAGAAACAUUUAAAAGCUAUACAAAGCAACCAAUAAAAUGACUGGCUAUUCAAUAAAAAAUUAAACAACUGCAUAGGUUGUUUUCAAGAGAUGCCUGAAAGUCAAAACGAAGAUGCCUGCCGAAUCACUGCUGGAAGAGUGUUCCACAGCAGGGGACUGAUAACACUAAAUGCCUGACUUAUAGUUGAUGCCAGUCAGGCCUCUGUAACCUGGGGGACAAGUAACAGUGCUUCUCUGGGUAAUCUCAGUGACUGGACAGGUGGUUCAAAUCUCACCCCUCCUCCCUAAGCUCACUCACUCACCAGCACCCACAAAAGAUCUCAGCAGUGGCCUCCUUAUUAAAGCGAUUGCAAUGGAGGUGUGGAAGAGGACACGUAUGGUUUAGGUGACUGAAGAUGUGUUGGGCUGAGUCAGGUGUACCUAAAAGUGCCAACACCUGCAAUUGUUUUUACCAUAGAGCUUUCGGCAUAUUAAUUUUCAUUAUUGACCUGAUGAUAAUGGAAGCCGCAGCAUUGCCACACACCCUGACCAGCCCAAGUCAAGCUGGCCCAGCUGCAACACAAGAUGGGGAGGGCUAUGGGGUGACCGCUGCUAUUCUGUGGAUGACCAGUAGUGCAACUGAGCAGUUUUAGAUUAUGGACUUUAGGUUUUAAAAGAUGGUAAUGUAUAUUAUUGUAGUUACUUUUUUUUUUUUUACUAUUCUGCUGGGUGCUGCCCAGAGUGGCUGGGGAAACCCAGCCAGAUGGGUGGGGUGGUAUUAUUAUUAUUAUUAUUAUUAUUAUUAUUAUUAUACUUUAAAAAAGAAGCCCACACUCCUACAUUUAUUAACCCUCCUGCUCAUUCUGCCAAGUAGGGUUUGGGCCUCUGCCCCAACCCAAAACCAAAUAGAAACAGUAUUUUGCAGUUUGUUAUGUUAGAACUGCAAGUUUGCAUUCAGAAAUGCAUUAAGUAAAGCAGUAACAGCUGUGAACCUAUACAACCUAUCCACAGAAGAGGCUGCCUGCCACAUCCCUUCAUGAGUCAUAGUUCUGACCCUGCUACCUCUGAAUCACCCUUGGGGGUUUUUUCGGGGGGGGGGUGCUGUAAUUUUGCCAUGCCUCUGUCACAGGUGCAGCUGGACUGAUCAGUCACUCCUGACGUUUGAAAGAGUAAGAAUGACCAGCCACCCCACAGCCAUUAGGAGUCUGUCCACUGCCUCUCUCAAUGAGUCACUGCUCUGACUUUGUCUCCUUCCAAUCUGGAAUUAUGCUCAGAGCAAGCCCAAGAAUCACAAGAUGGGCAAUGGCAUAGGAAUAUGUUGUAUCAGAUGUUAACAGGAAGGAGAAGCAGCCAGACCAGCCAGCUUAGCUCCUCUCGUGGCCCAUGUCUUUCUUCUAUCUCUCUCCCCCACCCCCUCCUGCAAUUCCUUCUGUUGACAGAGACGCCCCCCUUCAAGCGACACUGUGCCUGUAGCUGUUCUUCCUCAUCAUGGAGACAUACCUCCUCUCACUGGGUCAGAUUGAUUGUCCACCUAUCUAUACAUUGAUGGCUGGUACCUGUUGGACUGGUAGGGCAGUAGCCAGAAGACCCAAGAGUUAGAGGCCAAUGGCAGGCAGAGCAAACAAAUUCCAGCUUCACCCACCCCACCCCUGCUGAGUUCUACAAGGAAAACAAGCUGAUAGUCAAGGACUGGAUAUAAGUAAGAAAGUGGGCAGGUGGGGGCUGAACAAGGAUGAUGGGACACUGCGUCCAGAUCUUGCCUUCUCUGACCAGCAGCUGCUCUCCAGGUUCUCUCUCAGAAAAAGGUCUCACAUCGCCUCAGGACUGACCCUUUUAACUGGAGACGCUGGGGACUGAGCUGUGAACCUUUUCCAUGCAGAUUACGGGCUUUGCUACAAAUCUGUGGCUGAGUUUUCAUGUUCUCCUGAUUUCUUUAUCAGACCAGAGGUCUGGAGAUCUCAAAAACUUGCUCACAAGUUUAUGACAUUUUGAUUGGUUCCAAUAAGCGCAUUACAACUUUUUUGGGGGGAUUCAAAAGGGCCAACACAGCUACCACCAUUUUUAAAUGCACAAAACAGAAACCUAUUCAGAAAUUUUGGGGUGAAGCCACGCUGAAAGCAGGUGCCUCUUACUCUUUCACACUCUUGAGACCUCAUCUGUACUAUACAUUUAAAGUAGCAUCAUACCACUUUAAAGAGUCAUGAUUUCCCCCAAAGAAUCCUGGGAAGUGUAGUUUGUUAGGGGUGCUGAGCAUUGUCAGUCCCUUCACAGAGCUAUAGUUCCUGGAGUGGUUUAACAGUCAAUCCCUCUUCCCGGGGUACUCUGGGAAUUGUAGUUCUGUGAGGGGAAUAGGUCUUCCCUAACAACUCUCAGGAUUCUUUGGGGAUAGCCGUUUAAAGUGAAAUGAUGCUGCUUUAAAUGUAUAGUGCAGAUGGGGCCUAAUUUUUCCCCUCAGUGAGAAGAAGCAAAGAAGACACGGAAAUAAAUGACUUGGCAUAUAUUGAAUGAAAUCAGAUUGUCUGAGGGGAGAAAAAAGGCAUGUGUUGGAGCUGCUAACAAAUAUUGCGGCAGAAAAAACCUGAGAUUAAUUUGGACUAUUUUGUUCAGAAGAAAUAUCCAAAUAAUUUCAAGAAUGCUAAUGAUUUGGGGGAGAGGGCUAUGCCCAAAUAUAACUUUCUACCAAACUUUGCCUAACAUAAAGCUUCAAGACAUUUUUUUAUUUUCUGGCUCAGGUGAAACAUCCGGGGGAAAGCAAGAAGUGUAUCUAUAAAACUAGGGGAAAUUCUCACGAGGGCUCCAUGCAUCUCUAGUAAUUACAAGUGUAUCCUCAGUGAUAUUUUGUCAUCUGUGAAAUGGAACUAAAAUGAUAUUCCCACACCAAAGCAUCCGCCUUAAGACUGGUUUGUGAAUUACUUUGAAAUCUCCACCUGAAAGAUGCUACCUGCUCAUUAUACUUUAUCCACACAAAAAAGUGGUGAGAAAAAGGGGGCAGAUUCUGAUCUCAACGGUGUAAAAAUCCAGAGAGACUUCACCUCAGUAACCAUACAAGUAAUUAAAUGCAUUUUAAUUACAAGCCUUGCGGCUUUACUUACCAACAGUGCAAACAAGGUUGAUUGCUGCUGUAUUAAAUACAAGGAUUAAUCAUACAGUGGAGCUCAGCUGUGUUGCCUGAGCCUUACACAGGAGCCAGAACCUGGUCUGGAAAAGGAAGCAAAAAGAGAGAGGGAUUAGUCAGCUGUAGUGCAAUUCCCAAUUCCAUAGGCAAUGGCAAAAACUUUCACUGAGGCUAACAGAAGCAGCAGCUGGUCUUGCAUUUAUUUAUUUAUUUAUUUAUUUUCUUGCUUGGAAAUAUUUAAGCAACAUUCCCAAGGCAACAUACAAAAUAAAACGUACAGUGGUACCUCCGGUUAAGUACUUAAUUCGUUCCGGAGGUCCGUUCUUAACCUGAAACUGUUCUUAACCUGAAGCACCACUUUAGCUAAUGGGGCCUCCUGCUGCUGCCGCACCGCCGGAGCACGAUUUCUGUUCUCAUCCUGAAGCAAAGUUCUUAACCCGAGGUACUAUUUCUGGGUUAGCGGAGUCUGUAGCCUGAUGCGUAUGUAACCUGAAGCGUCUGUAACCCAAGGUACCCCUGUACUUUUAAUAUUUCACAAAGACACGUAAGCCUGGUCAGUUCCAGUGUCCUGAUCACAGGAACAUUGAGCCAUUUUAUGUGUGUGAUGGUGACCAGGAUUGUGUUGACGGAGCAGACAAACAUGACUGCAGUUAAGUAUCAACCCACCUCUUCCUUAAGGUAAAGGGUAAAGGGACCCCUGACCAUUAGGUCCAGUCGCGUGGCCAGCAUGACUAAGCCGCUUCUGGUGAACCAGAACAAUCCGGGCGAACCAAGACAAUUCUCCUUACAUGGGUUCAAAUUAAGGAUGCUUGAGGGUUUUAUUUGGUCUGCAUUUUUUUUUUUAUAAUAAUUUUUAUUAAGUUUUCAAUUUUACACUUCAAAAUAAACAUUUUGCAAACUUUGAAAUAUUCGAUGACUUCCCUUUUUCUCCUUCCAUGGUUCAUUUUACAGAUCAUAAAUUCCUGCAUAUUUUACUAUAACCAUCCAAAUCAGUUUUCCACUUUUACUUCCAUCAGAAAUUAUUUACUCUGUUGAAUUUAUCUUAGUGGGAUGCAGUUCACCAAACAGAACAUGCAUACAAAAAAAAUGUGGGGAAAGUGUGCACGGAAAUGCAUGUUAAAGUGAAAAUAAUAUACAAAAAUGCAUUAAAUUAGGGGAAAUUGCUUGCAAUAAUACAUUUAUUAGGCAAAAUUGUGUAGAAAAUGCAUAUAUUAAGAGAAAUAUGCAUGAAAAUGCACUGAGAUUUCAUGCAAUUUGUUUAAGGCAAACUGAAAUGAGAUGAACUGGACUUAAGAUGGGGAAAAUGAGGGAAGCCAAAAUUGAUAGAUUCAGUCGUCCUUAAUCAGGACUAGUUCUUGCAUUGCUUGAGUGUCACAACUGUAGGCCAUGCCACUCUGGCAAUACUUGAAAUGUCGUGGUUUCUUCCUAUGGCAGCACAACCAGUUGCUAGGAGCCAAAAGCAGUGGCCUGGAAAGCAACCACAUCAUACAUCCCCUGUGGUUUCCUGAUUUACAGGUACAGCAAGGAAUACAUGACCACACAGAAGUGCCAAACCUGACAUAAAGUCAACUCAAGAGCUGCCUUCUGUUUCACAGAGUUAACUAUGAGCUCGUUAGAGGAAGGUUGGCCUGAAAAUGUAAAAAUGCAUAGAAAGCCACACAAGAGCAAGCUCUGAUUCUUUGAGGUGAUGAUAGAAGUGUAGCAAACAACAACAACAACAACUGUUAGAAGUGCAGUCCAGGGAUCACCCAGUUUGUGAUUUAAGGGUUAAUUCUGUUAUCAGUAAGUCAGCUAAGAGGGAGGGGGAUGUUGCUUAGCAACCAGGCAGCACCGCAUCACUAUUGCUGAGAUGCCACGUUCUCUGAUUAGUUGUGUCCUUCUGAGGAAGUUUCUCAUCUGUUUGGUUGUACACGUCCAGCCUACAAUGCCUGAACAAAGACAAAAACAUCUCUGUUCCUUUCUCCUCAACUUAUACACUGUUUUUGUUCAAUUAUACAAGGGCAGCAACACUGAGACUAAGGAGGAGGACGCUGAGAAGCUGCACCAGCCAUUGGGUUGGAUGUUAAUAAGAAGACAGGCAGGUGGAGACUGGCUGCAGGCAGAAUGAGGUUGGUUGGCAACCCAGCUUUUCUUAAAAAAACAACAACAACUUGCUUUAGCAUUUGUAGAACCUGAGAUACGAGGCAAAUGUACUGACACUAUUCUUCUUCUCAUUUUUGUGAAAAGUGAGGCUGUUCCCCACUUUCAGUGUUUUACUUCAACUCCACCAGAAAAAAAAUCCUGCGGAUCCCCAUGGUGGGUGGUGCAGUGUCCCACUCAUCCUAAAGGACCAGCCUCCACUGCUUUGGGAUGUUUGGAAUAGUUUGUCACAUGCGCCAACAUUUCAGUGGGUGGCCCCUAGUACGACUUCCCUGCUUCCAUUUGCUCACCUAAGCACAACCUGCCCAUUUGGUUUCCUGCAGCCCAGAUGAUUCAAGCGUGCCUACUUUCACCAACAGCUGCUUGCUGAAGGCCCAUUCAUAUUUCAACAACUGGAUCAAGGAGUUGCUUUCUCAAGAUCUCUACCCAGUAAAUCUGGGAGAUUACUUUGGAGACUGUAAUCAAAGUACACGCAUCGGGCUUUGAAAAAUAAUAAUACCGAGGUCUUGCACAACACCUCUAUCACUCCUUUGCAAGCCUUAGUCAGGUGGUAAAUAUCAUUCUUGAGCAAGACCUCAGUAUUAGAAUAAUAAUUAAAAACCACAUGGAAAUGCAGGCCCCCUCCCAAAGGCAUCCAUCCAAAAGCAGAAGCCUCCAUUUUGCAUAUUGUGAGCAAUUUUAACCAAGGCUUGGUUAUUUGUUCUUGCACACUUUCUGUUUUUGUUUUUGUUUUGAAGGAGAGACAGAAGCGAUGGAGGGCACGCAAAAGAUACUGGAUACAUUCCAUCAAGCUCCACCCACUGGCUCAGUUGACAUAAGGCAGAAUAGCAAUGAAUAUUCAUAACUGGGGAAAAACAGGUAUAUGUGGAAGCCCAAAUGCACACACGGCGGGGGGGGGGGAUCAGAUCUGAACGACCCAUUUGCAGUAUAAGGCCCACACCAGGAAGCACACCUUUGCUCCAUUUCUCUGUAUCAACCAUAUUAGUUUAUCUCCCCUCCUUUGGCCUUAUACCUUAUUGUAUGACACUUGUCUUCCUUGCUAACUGUUAACAGCAUUUGUUAAAAACGUAUAUAAAUAAUAUAUGCCUUGUAUUUACAAAGAAAAAUACUAGCACCCCACUGUACAACUUGUAUGUUGAUGUUUUGUUGGACGGCUCUGGCAGGGUUCCUCUUAUGUUCUUAGGGAUCAGAUGUAGUCAAUAUGGUGCCAUCCGGAAGUUGUAGGACUCCAACUCCCAUCAGCCCCAGCCAGCGUGGCCAAGGGUCAGGGAUUAUGGAAGCUGUAGUACUCCAAAAUCUGAAGGGCACUACACUGGCCAGCCCUUUUAAAGAUGUUUUGAUAGAGAGCAUUACACCACUUACUGGAUGAGAAGUCUGCCAACGACUAUGAACUAUGAUGGAAACCCCAUGUUUAGAGGCAGUAUAGCUUCUGAGUAUCAGAUGGAAGAAAGCCUGUGCUUGUGAAGUACAGAUGCAUGUAUUUCCUCCAAUUCCUUGUUAAUAAUGCAUGACACACAUUCCAACUUACUUAACAUGCAAAAACUCUUAUCUGCCACCAACACCCUCUCAGUAAUCUGCAAGCCCAUCCAUGAGAUACUAUUAAGAAGAGGGCUAUUUUCUUGUACUGCUUGAGGGCUUCCUGGUGGCAUGUGACUGACUACUGUGGGAAAGCUUGACUAAACAGACUUUCAACAAAGCUUUUCUUAUGUUCUUUGUUAUGCGGUAAGCUUGGAUCCUAGAACAAUAGGCGAGUAGGAUCCUAGAAUGCAGCAACUGAUUGGCUUGCAGGAAAAGACCAGUCAGGCUCCAGGAGGAAGUUAAUCAGCCUGUUAGGCUGGUAGGAUCCUAGAAUGCAACAACUGAUUGGCCUGCAGGAAAAGACCAAUCAGGCUCCAGGAGGGAAGCAGAAUCAGCCAAUCAGACGGGACUCAUUGUGUAAAUAUGUAUAUAAAAGCUUGAGGUUUGGGGGGUAAUUCAAUCACUGUUUUACAAGCUGGAAUAAAGAGCAUGA